UACGGAGGGUGCAAGCGUUACUCGGAAUCACUGGGCGUAAAGAGCGUGUAGGCGGGUAGUUAAGUCAGAAGUGAAAUCCAAUAGCUCAACUAUUGAACUGCUUUUGAAACUGAUUACCUAGAAUAUGGGAGAGGUAGAUGGAAUUUCUGGUGUAGGGGUAAAAUCCGUAGAGAUCAGAAGGAAUACCGAUUGCGAAGGCGAUCUACUGGAACAUUAUUGACGCUGAGACGCGAAAGCGUGGGGAGCAAACAGGAUUAGAUACCCGCGUAGU
rnacentral:rRNA from 1 species